CGGCGCACGCGCCCUCGGCCCCUGCUGCUCUUAGGGCCGCUGUCUGCCUGGUGUUUUCACUUCCUUCUCUUCAGAGCUGUAUCCGGGUCGUUGUUUUCCCUAUUGUUUUAGGCAACCGGCCUCGGAUUGUGUAAAUUCUGAGUCUUUUGUUGCUUUUGUUGCAGGCUAAUAAAGUUUUUCUUUCGUUUAUUUUUUUUCUAAGAGUUUAAACAGGGGAAGUUAACUCCCCAGGGCUGCCGGGUUAGCCGCGCUGCCUGGGCCGGAGGGCGCCUUUGGCCGGGGAAGCGCCAAAGGAAGCCGCGCUAGCGGCCGGGGUCCGUUCUGCGAGGACCAGGGGCCGGGGGGCGGGAGGGGAACCGCGGGGCUGCACCUGGGGCGCCCCGGUCUGGUCCGCGGCGCCGCCUAUUUUUAAUAGCAUCUUUUGGACUCGUUUACCUUGGUCUCAGUCCUCGACCUCGGCGCUGCCUGGGCUCUCGCAGCCUCUCCCUAGGUCUACUCCAAACGACCACCUCGGAUUCCUUAUGGAUCGCAGCUCCAAGAGGAGGCAGGUGAAGCCUUUGGCAGCUUCUCUGCUAGAAGCUCUCGAUUAUGAUAGUUCAGAUGACAGUGAUUUUAAAGUUGGAGAUGCUUCAGAUUCUGAAGGGAGUGGUAAUGGAAGUGAAGAUCCUUCAAAGGACAGUGGAGAAGGUUCCUGUAGUGAUUCUGAAGAAAAUAUUUUAGAGGAAGAACUGAAUGAAGAUAUUAAAGUAAAAGAAGAACAACUUAAAAUUUCUGCAGAGGAAGAAAUACUAUCAUCAGAAAAACAGUUAAUUAAAGUGGAAAAGAAGGAGGAAGAAGAGAAUGGAGAGAGACCUAGAAAGAAAAAGGAAAAAGAGAAGGAGAAAGAAAAAGAUAAAGAGAAGGAGAGAGAGAAGGAUAAAGAAAAAGCAACAACAUCUGAUAACGUGGCUGCUUCUGCUGCUUCCACCACACCAGCCACAAGUCCUCCUGCUGCUAACACAUCUCCUUCAGUCCCCACGACAACAACUACAGAGGAGCAAGUCAGUGAGCCAAAAAAGUGGAACCUGCGUCGCAACCGACCACUUUUGGAUUUUGUAUCCAUGGAAGAGCUGAAUGACAUGGAUGACUAUGAUAGUGAAGAUGACAAUGAUUGGCGACCCACUGUAGUAAAAAGAAAGGGAAGAUCUGCAUCUCAGAAGGAAGGAAGUGACGGAGACAAUGAGGAUGAUGAAGAUGAGGGAAGUGGGAGUGAUGAGGAUGAGAAUGAUGAAGGCAAUGAUGAAGAUCAUAGCAGCCCUGCCAGUGAAGGGGGUUGCAAGAAGAAGAAGAGUAAAGUUCUUAGCAGAAACAGUGCUGAUGAUGAGGAACUGACCAAUGAUAGCCUGACACUAUCUCAGAGCAAGAGUAAUGAGGACUCGCUGAUUCUUGAGAAGAGUCAAAACUGGAGUUCUCAAAAAAUGGACCAUAUUCUGAUUUGCUGUGUUUGUCUUGGAGAUAAUAGUGAGGAUGCUGAUGAAAUAAUUCAGUGUGACAAUUGUGGCAUUACAGUCCAUGAAGGUUGUUAUGGAGUUGAUGGAGAGAGUGACUCUAUUAUGAGUUCAGCUUCUGAAAACUCCACUGAACCUUGGUUUUGCGAUGCCUGUAAAUGUGGUGUUUCCCCUAGCUGUGAACUAUGUCCCAAUCAGGAUGGAAUUUUCAAGGAGACAGAUGCUGGAAGAUGGGUUCAUAUUGUCUGUGCCCUGUAUGUUCCUGGUGUAGCCUUUGGAGAUAUUGACAAAUUGCGACCAGUAACGCUAACAGAAAUGAACUAUUCCAAAUAUGGUGCCAAGGAGUGUAGCUUCUGUGAAGAUCCUCGUUUUGCUAGAACUGGAGUUUGCAUUAGCUGUGAUGCAGGGAUGUGCAGAGCCUAUUUCCAUGUGACCUGCGCUCAGAAGGAAGGUCUGCUUUCAGAGGCAGCAGCAGAGGAGGAUAUAGCAGAUCCAUUUUUUGCUUAUUGUAAGCAACAUGCAGAUAGGUUAGACAGAAAGUGGAAGAGAAAAAACUACUUGGCUCUACAAUCCUAUUGUAAAAUGUCUUUACAAGAGAGAGAGAAGCAACUAUCACCAGAAGCACAGGCAAGGAUCAAUGCCCGGCUUCAGCAAUAUCGUGCCAAAGCAGAACUAGCUCGAUCCACCAGACCCCAGGCCUGGGUUCCAAGGGAAAAAUUGCCCAGACCACUCACUAGCAGUGCUUCGGCCAUUCGUAAACUUAUGCGGAAAGCAGAACUGAUGGGGAUCAGUACAGAUAUCUUCCCAGUGGACAAUUCAGAUACUAGUUCUAGUGUGGAUGGAAGGAGAAAACAUAAGCAGCCUGCUCUCACUGCUGAUUUUGUGAAUUAUUAUUUUGAGAGAAAUAUGCGCAUGAUUCAAAUUCAAGAAAAUAUGGCUGAACAAAAGAAUAUAAAGGAUAAAUUAGAGAAUGAACAAGAAAAGCUUCAUGUGGAAUAUAAUAAGCUGUGUGAAUCUUUAGAAGAACUACAAAACCUGAAUGGAAAACUUCGAAGUGAAGGACAAGGAAUAUGGGCCUUACUAGGCAGAAUCACAGGGCAGAAGUUGAACAUACCGGCAAUUUUGCGAGCACCCAAGGAGAGAAAACCAAGUAAAAAAGAAGGAGGCACACAAAAGACAUCUACUCUUCCUGCAGUACUUUAUAGUUGUGGAAUUUGUAAGAAGAACCAUGAUCAGCAUCUUCUUUUAUUGUGUGAUACCUGUAAACUCCAUUACCAUCUUGGAUGUCUGGACCCUCCUCUUACAAGGAUGCCAAGAAAGACCAAAAACAGUUAUUGGCAGUGUUCAGAAUGUGACCAGGCAGGGAGCAGUGACAUGGAAGCAGACAUGGCCAUGGAAACCUUACCAGAUGGGACCAAACGAUCAAGGAGGCAGAUUAAGGAACCAGUGAAAUUUGUUCCACAGGAUAUGCCUCCAGAACCCAAGAAGAUUCCAAUAAGAAACACGAGAACCAGAGGACGAAAACGAAGCUUCAUUCCUGAGGAAGAAAAACAUGAGGUUGGAAUAAGAGAGAGUUCCUAGAGAGAGGAGACAAAGGCAGUCUGUGUUACAAAAGAAGCCCAAGGCUGAGGAUUUACGAACUGAAUGUGCAACUUGCAAGGGAACUGGAGACAAUGAAAACCUUGUCAGAUACCCUUCAUGAGACCCAACUCUGCCACAGCUCAUCCUCGGAGGCAAUCCUGGAAACCUCUUUUAUAAGUGUGAUUUUAAAAAUGUGGAUAACACUCUCAAUAGAGUAUAUAAAGUAAAGGAGAACAGCUAUCUUGUCUUUCCCAUAAGCUUAUCACUGCAAAAAGUUGCCUUUGCUUGUCAGGUUUGGAUAGAAUGUAAUUGAUUGGUUUGUUACUUGGACUGACAAGGCAGUUAAUUUGCCUGUGUGGAUUUUUUUCUCCUUUUUUUCUUUUGCACUAAUCAGAAACAUUUGAUAUGUGCAUUGUUGAAAAAUACUAGAUGAUGUCUUGUCAGAAUUGUCCUAUUAAGUAAUGUCUUCCCCUCUUGCUUCUUUGGCAAAUGAUAGACAGUAUUUGGACUUACUUAAGAGUUACUGAAGCCUGUGGGACUUACAUGCAAUGUGCUACUUGUUGUUGAACAAAUCUAGUAACAAACAAGAAAGAUAAUGCAUUCCAUUAGUCUGCUAUUCUGUUUCAUCCAACUUAAUACAUAUAUUCAUAUAUGAAAUACUGCAUUGGGAAACAACUGUAGACUAUAUUAAAUGUUACUUCUAUUUAUAAUAUUCAGCAAAAGUGAAAGACUUGUGAAAGCGUAUGCCAUUCUAGUUUUGACUCAUUAGUUCUAGUGUGAAAGCACUAAUAUUAGUAGCAUGCAGUUUUUGCAACUUCAGAUUUUAAGCUUGUAAAUAAGAAUAUAUCUGUGUUGAUCUCUAGAUAUUUUUUAGUAAUAACCAAAUAUAUUCACUCUUUAUUGAUUCAAUACAAACUUUCUCUGUUCAGUAUAAUUUUAUUUUUCUCAACCUUAAGUAUGAGGUUACAAAAUAAGGAGAGAGAUACAAAGCUUUUGACUAUACAGCCUGCCAACUGAAAGAUCUUCGUCAACAUUUGUAUCUUUCCAAAGGUUUACAGAAUUAAAAUUUGGUCUUCAAGCUUUAAUGAACAAGUCUUAAAUCAACGACAGAAAUAUGUUGAAUAUUUCAUCACUUCAUCUUGAACUGAUUUAGAAGAGACUGUUUGCUGAAAUUGAAAUACAUAUAUACAUGUAAAUUGUCAACAUGUCUCUUGGAAUUUCCUGAUUUAUAAAUGUGGUUUGGGACAUCUUUUCAGGUAUAGUGGCAUUGAAAAUAGUUCAAACAUUAGGAAUAGAGUAGGAAAUGUUAUAGAUAACUAAAAGCAAGUGUAAAUAUAAAGUUGCUGUAUGCUAGUAACCUUUAGUUAUACUAAGGAACCAUAUUAUUGGAUAUUUAAUAAAAGCAGUAUGUAUAUAAAAUAUGUAUAAACUGAGAUUAUUAACUUAUUGAAAGACCUAACAUUGGAGGAAAAAUAUUAAUAACCUGUAGCAAAACCAGUAGGCUUUUUUUUUUUAGAAAAAGAAUUCAUUAUUUAUCACUGCAUAAGCUUAAGAAAAAAUUGGUAGUUAUUACUAUUGCUGAACUGCAGCUGAUUUUAAGAAAAAUGUCAGAUUGCCAUUUCCUUAAAAAAGAAUAUGCUAGUGCAUUUGGACCUGACUCUCCUUUGAUAUAUGGUAAGAUAUUACUAGUGGUCAUUUUAUUUUAGAUUUUUUUGAAAAAUCAUUAAACCUUGUGGUUUUGGUGACACUAUUAAUCAAAGUCCUUUCCACCUGGUUCUAUUUAGAAUACCAUAUUAUCAUCAUUCUCCAUCUUACUGUUCGGUGGUGGAUAUGUGGUUCCAUAUUUGGUGCUAGCCCUAAGAAUCUUUGUCACACAUCACGAAUAUAAACCACAUAAUAUUCAUAAGAUCAUUGGUCCUGCAAAUGUGUAUUUGGAGUAGAACUUUUGAAGAGAGUAGAAUGAAACACUUUCUCCUAAUAAUCUCCUAGACACUCUCAUAUUUCCAUGGUACAAAAUUAACCCUUUUCUGUAAUUGGUCCAGUUGUUAUUCAGAGGAGAUAUUAAUGUGUAUAUCAAGAGAAUAUACACUAAAUAGUUCAUAUUUUACAUACAUGUAUAAGCGAAAGCAGUCCGACAGGUAAAUGAUGGUUAUUUGUCGCAUGAUAGGGAAAGAAAAAAAACACUGAAAUAUCAAGAAGUAAAAUAAAUAACUCUGAACUACAAGAAGAAUGACAUGGCAGUAUAUAUAGCAGUGGUUCUCAAACUUUAUAGUACAUCAGAAUCAAGGAUUUGUUUAAAAGCAGAUCGCUCACCUACUCCCCUCCUCAUUUUCCUCCUCAUUUUCCUCCCUCUUAUUUCUCCCUGCAGUUUCUGAUUAAGUGGGUCUGGGAUGAGGCCUGAAAAUCUGCAUUUCUAAAAGUUUCCAAGUGAUGCUGAAGCUGGCCAGGGACAUCCUUUGAGAACCAUUUGUGUAUAAUAUUUUGAAAAGAAUCAUGGUAUUGUGGUUGACAUUGAUUGAUUGAAUGUGGCUUUAAUCUUGUUAAAAGGGCCCUUAAAUUUUCAAAAAUACUUGUUUCUAGGUAAAAGAGAUUAUAGUAGUUUAUAGCACAUAGAGUAUAACUUCUUUAUUAUACAUAAGUUUAGUUAAACAGGUGUUUAUUUUAUACCUAUUUUGGACACAGUAAAUGAAAUUUAUUUAUCAUUUAUAUAUCAUUGUUAUUCGUGUUUCUUGAGUGUUUAUCUGAUUUUACAAUUAUAAUGUUAAAAAUAGAUCACUGACCAAUAAAUAAUAAGAAUAUUCACACUCAUUAUCCUAUUUCCCUGUUUUUACAUCCUGUUACUUACUAGAUCACUCUUUUUAAACUCUUAAUGUUUUUUAUUUGACAAAACUUACCACUGUUUUACUUGAUUCUCAGCAUGGGAAUAUUUUAUUAAUAUUUCAUCAAAAUCUAUUCAAGGAAUUCAGAAGGACUCUCUAGCAGAAUGGAAUACUAACAUUACUAAUUUUUCUUUAAACUUUCUGAAAUCAUUUUGACAAUUAAAACUUGUUUAAGAGACUCAGCUUUAGAGUUGCAUGGCAUAUGAAGGCAGAAAUUUUUUCCUACCCAGUCAACACUUUAUCAAUUUACAUAAUACUAAGGAUUGGAAUUAAAAAUAUUUCUGAGAUAGACAUGCUUUGCAAAUACUUUUUUUUUUUUUUAAAUAAACAUAUAGACCUCUUUCUCCCAGUACACAGUCUUAAGACUUUCUGCAGGCCUGCUGUAAGAUUCACUGCUGUUCAGGUACAUAGGAUAUAAUGAAACUGGAUGUUCAUGCUGGGCUUUGUGAAUAAAAUGAGACUGACCUCCAGCCAUUAUCUCAUUUAUCUGAUUUACAUUGUAAAAUCAAGAUCUACACUAUUGAUUAGAGAAUAAUUAGUUAAUUAUGAGCAGGGAAAUACAAAGUUAUGUGGGGCUUGAGCACAGCGGGUUGUACUGCUGAAAAAUUUCCAAGGGCAUGAGCAGAUGGAGAUCAGUUUAUUAAAGAACAAAGCAGAUGUGUUUCAGGUAUGAAAAUGUCUAAUCAUUCUCUCAUGCUGUGAAGAGGUACUUGACCUUAUUGUGUAUUUUUAUAUGAAUUCUUUUAUUUCAUGUUUUAGUUUUGCCUUUCACUUUUAAUCUUGUAACUUGACUACUGCAGAUGUAGCUAACUGAAUUGAUCCCAUUAUUUAAGUGAUCAUUAAACAUGAAUUUGGAUUUCAAUAAUUAUCCAAAUAUUUUUUCCAGUUAAUAUACUUUACAGAAUAUUUUUGUCUUUCCUACCACUCAUUCAUUCAUUAUUGCAUGUGAUGAGAGUCUAUAGUGACAUUAAUGAAAAUAUGUUCAAGACCUCCACAUUAGCCUUUAUUUGUGAAAUAUCAUAUAAAAGACAUUUUCUAAUUAUUUUGAAAAUGCUCAUAUAGGUGAUUUGCAGUGAAAGUGUUGUAAAAAGGAAUAAAGUUUGCCUUUAUUGAUAUUAAAUGUUAUUCUAAUAUUUGUAGAAUGCAGAAUUUUUUGCAAGCUUGUAUUUUAAAAGUGAUUUAACUCAUGGGCCACAAACCUGCAUUUUCUCCAUCUGUUAAAAGGAAUAAUUGAAUUGGCUACUGUUCAAUGAAAGAGUCUGUCACUACUGGUUAAUACAUUUGUGUAGGUGUUUCAGUUGCUAGUAAGAUUUUAUGUAAGUAAUAUUAAGACCAAUUCUUUUGGUCAUUCUUCUAUAGAAUUUUUGCAUAGAAAUGAUGAAAAAGUAAGAAAAUCCAACCCAUCUAUUCUCUUGAUAUUUAGUUGUGAGUUUUUUGUUUUUUUUAAUUAAAUGGAUGUAACAGUAUAUAUUUUCAAGGUUGGUUCUUUAUUUUACUGUAUAUAGACUUGGAAGGGACCUAAACCAAAUGUUCAUUGCCAUAAAAAAUAUCUGUGAUUAUGGAUCAACCUGGUCAUAAAACAUGUACAUUACUUUUCAAGUCCAUGUUACGGAUUUCUCUUCUUCAUGAAAUUUAGCUAAUCAUAUGGCUAUAAAUUAUAUAUAUAGGAGGUACACCUUUUUUUUGGUUAGUUUUGAAAAGUAGUUAUUUAGUGUACUCUUCUAGUGAAAUUAUCAAUUGGAAAUUAAGGGAAUUUAAGAAACCCUUUGGAACACUGGCCUGUCUCUUAGGUGUAGACAGAAAUAAAUAAGUUGUUUCUUUUUACUUGUGUGUAUAUUCUCAGUAAUCAGAUAAACACAUGACUGAUUGCUCCCAUGGAUCAUAGGACAUAGGAACAUAAAUCAUUUUCUUCCUCUUUUAUGUCUAGGGUGCUAUACUUAACCAUAUCUAAGUAAGUAUUUUAAAUACAUAUAGAACUAUGUUUAUUUGGUCACUGCAUUUUGUUAAAUGAAUGUGUAAAAGACCAUAUACAUAUAGCUGCUUUAUUAUUGAAAUCUGUAUCCAUUAUGAAUCUGAUGCCUAGGAAGUUGUAUUUAGUAAAAAUCUAAUUAAACAAUGAGGUUUCCUUUUCUUAUAAAUGGGAUUUAUCUUAUCUCACUUACAAUUGUAAUUUUAGAAUGUCCCAUAAUAUGUUAAUGUGUACAGUUUUAUUAGAUGUUUAGAGGAUAUUCUUUAAGCAUCCAGUUUGCAUUUUAUUAAAAAACAUAGUGUAUCUUUAUAGGUUAGUUUUAUAUUUUUUAAUUUAAGACAUUGUCUUCCUAUUUAAUAUAUGUGCUAUUGGUAUAAUAGUCCGUUUUUAUUACAUAGACAUUUGUGUUAUUUAAUAAAGUAUAUUGUGUUAUAUCACA